rnacentral:lncRNA from 1 species
ACAAUGUGCCUCGUUAAAACCUUAAAACCAAAACCCAAUGGGAAAAAUUAAAGAAAGGAAAAAGAGUACACAUGUUUGAAUAUGCGUCUAUUGGUGCCUCGUUAAAAACCUCGCAAGGAAAACCCAAUUGGGACAAAACCUUGUAAGGGGAAAAGAGUGCAACGCGCAUUAAUUCCCUCUAAUGAGUACAUCAAUUUAUAUCCUUGAGCAUUUGCAUUCCAAUCUUGUGCAUCAUC